AAGGAAGCGAUUCCGGUCAAGGAUGGGCAUGCGGCGCAUUAGCUAGUUGGCGGGGUAACGGCCCACCAAGGCGACGAUGCGUAGGGGUUCUGAGAGGAAGGUCCCCCACAUUGGUACUGAGACACGGACCAAACUCCUACGGGAGGCAGCAGUGAGGAAUAUUGGUCAAUGGGCGCGAGCCUGAACCAGCCAAGUCGCGUGAGGGAAGACGGCCCUACGGGUUGUAAACCUCUUUUGUCGGGGAGCAAGGACUGCCACGAGUGGCAGGGCGAGAGUACCCGAAGAAGAAGCAUCGGCUAACUCCGUGCCAGCAGCCGCGGUAAUACGGAGGAUGCGAGCGUUAUCCGGAUUUAUUGGGUUUAAAGGGUGCGUAGGCGGAAGUUCAAGUCAGCGGUAAAAUCGAGGGGCUCAACCCCUUUAAGCCGUUGAAACUGGGUUUCUUGAGUGGGCGAGAAGUGUGCGGAAUGUGUGGUGUAGCGGUGAAAUGCAUAGAUAUCACACAGAACUCCGAUUGCGAAGGCAGCACACCGGCGCCUAACUGACGCUGAGGCACGAAAGCGUGGGGAUCAAACAGGAUUAGAUACCCUGGUAGUCCACGCAGUAAACGAUGAACACUAGGUGUGCGGGUCGAAUGAGAUAUGCGUGCCACAGCGAAAGCGUUAAGUGUUCCACCUGGGGAGUACGCCGGCAACGGUGAAACUCAAAGGAAUUGACGGGGGCCCGCACAAGCGGAGGAACAUGUGGUUUAAUUCGAUGAUACGCGAGGAACCUUACCCGGGCUCAAACGGCAGAGGAAAGUUUUUGAAAGGAGGCUGCUCUACGGAGCCUCUGCCGAGGUGCUGCAUGGUUGUCGUCAGCUCGUGCCGUGAGGUGUCGGCUUAAGUGCCAUAACGAGCGCAACCCCUACCGCCAGUUGCCAUCAGGUGAUGCUGGGGACUCUGGCGGGACUGCCGGCGCAAGCUGUGAGGAAGGCGGGGAUGACGUCAAAUCAGCACGGCCCUUACGUCCGGGGCGACACACGUGUUACAAUGGCAGGUACAGCGGGAAGCCACCGGGCGACCGGGAGCAGAACCCGAAAACCUGUCUCAGUUCGGAUUGGAGUCUGCAACUCGACUCCAUGAAGCUGGAUUCGCUAGUAAUCGCGCAUCAGCCAUGGCGCGGCCCCUAAAGGCCCGGCCUUGCACU
rnacentral:rRNA from 1 species